GUAGAGUGGGAAUAAAUAGCAUAUAUAAUAUGCCUAUGAAUCAACAUCUAGCAACUACUAUGAUGCCUGAUUUUCAUUGAAAAUAAGAUGGUUCCCUACCAUUUUCCUACCGAAAAAAACAUGAUAAUUUU
rnacentral:sRNA from 1 species